GUAACAUUUUUAUAUAUCAGUUAAGGAAACAUUUAAAUUAAAACAAUAAUCCUAAUACUAAAAAGAAGAAAUAAUUAAAUAUUUUGCAUCCUGUGUGUGAGAACAAUGUAUUUUUUUAAAUUUAUGACUUUGGUACUUCAUCUAAGUAAGAGUGGGGCUUUCUUCAGUAAGUUAUAGGUGUGAAACACGAAACUUGAUGAACGAUUUUGUUCCUAAAAAUUUAUGAUCCGUUGUUCUACUUGAAAACAUAGUAACACGUAGGUACAUUUUGGGGUUUUUUUGUUGUUUUUUGGUACCAGGGAUUGAACUCAGGACCUUGCGCUUUCGAGGCAGGAGGAGGCACCACUGAGCUAAAUCCCUGGCCCACAGAUUUAGCGAGGUCUGGAGCUACUGGUGUGGAAUGGGACAUAAGAACUGUGAGCCUCGGACAGCAGCCCUUUACCAGGUAUUUGGAGGUUGACCUGGACUUAGCUGUGUUAAGCUGCCUGCACCACAGGAAACCACCUCCCUCGCUGCUGCUUGCUGCUUUCUCUUUAGCCAACACCCAAAGCCACUGCCAGUGUCAGGGAGAUGAGACUUCACAGGUGUCAUAAAUGAUGGUGAAAGAAGAUCUCAUAGGACAGGAUGAGAAUUUUGGCUUCUUGUACCCAGAGAAUCAGCCACAAAGAAUGAGGAACUACCUGUGUUAUGACCUUGAGCAAGUCCCUUGACUCCUCUGGGCUUCAUUUCUCUCUUCUGUUCACCACUUGAUUUUGGAGUCUAAUGCAGUACAAGUUUGCUAGUGACAAGAAAAGCCAAUAGUGAAGCAAACUGGGAUUAUUAAGUUUCAGUCUAGAGAUUUUCCAUUGAUGGGACAGAAUGGUUAGUUUACCG
rnacentral:lncRNA from 1 species